AUGUUGAGAUCCCACACUUAUACUGGGGUCCCACACCCAUACUGGAGUCCCAUGUCAGCAUCCUGCACCCACCCUGAGGCCAGGCACCCAAACCAGGGUCCUACUGCACCCACACCGGGGUGCUGCACCCAUGCUGGGGGUCCUGCACCCACUCGGAGACCCUCCACUCACGCCAAGACUCUGCAUCCAUGCUGGGGGUCUCACAUCCAUAGGUUGAGGCCAUGCACCCAUGCCAGGGUCCUGUACCCCCACGUUGGGGUGCUACACACAUGCCAAGGUCCCGUGCCUUCACCGAGGUCCUGCACCCAUGGCCAAGACCCUGUACCCGUACUGGUGGCCCAUGCUUAUACUGGGGUCCUACACCCUUACUGGGGUCCCACACCCGUGCCAAGGCCAGGCAACCCAAACCAGGGUCCUCCUGCACCUACGCUGAGGUUCCUGCACCCACACCAAGACCCUGCACCCAUGCCAGGGUCCCACAUCCAUGCCGGUGUCCUGCACCCACUUGGAGACCCUUCAACCCACGCCAAGACUGCACCCAUGCUGGGGUCCUACACCCAUGCUGAGACCCUGGUGCCACUGCCGCCAUGCACCCCGUCUACUACGUCCAUGCCGAGGGGAAGGUGGUGGAGCUCUGGCACCCCGUCCGUGGCUGGUAGGAAGGAGAGCGAGGAGCUUCUGGGGUGCUGUGCCCCACGUUGGGGUGUUAUGCCCCACGUUGGGGUGCUGCACCCACACCAAGACCCUGCACCGAUGCCAAAACCCUGCACCCAUGCCAAGAUCCUGUACCUGCACCAACGUCCUCCACCCACACCAAGAGCCUGCACCCAUUCCUGGGUCCCACACCAGCAUCCUGCACCCACGCUGAGGCCAGGCACCCAAACCAGGGUCCUGCACCCACGGCAGGGUGCUACACCCAAGCUGGGGUCCCACACCCAUGCCAGGUGGCCAAGGUCCUCUACCCAUGUCAAGGUGAUGCACCCACACCAAGGUUCUGCGCCUAUGCUGGUGUCCCAUCACCCAUGUUGA
rnacentral:lncRNA from 1 species